AGUGAACGCUGGCGGCAGGCCUAAUACAUGCAAGUCGAACGGCAGCACAUUAAAAUCGUGCUCUUAGGGUUGGCGGGUGGCGGACGGGUGAGGAAUACAUCGUAAGCUACUUUUUCGUGGGGGAUAACGUGGGGCAACUUAUACUACUGCAUCAUACCUUUUACGGGUGGAUGCAAGGUAGCUUCGUACCUUUCCCGAUUGAAUAGGCCGAUGUCGGUUUUGCUAGUUGGCUGGGUAAAGGCCGACAAAGGCAACGAUCCCUAGCUGGCCUGAGAGGGUGACCGGCCACACUGGAACUGAGCAACGGUCCAGCCUCCUACGGGGGGCAGCAGUGGGGAACUUUGGACAAUGGGCGCAAGCCUGACCCAGCAAUGCCGCGUGGGUGAAGAAGGCCUUCGGUUUGUAAACCCCUUUUGUUGGGAAAGACAAGCUGCAGAUUAAAAAGCACAUGUUCUGACGGUACCUAACGAGAAAGCAACGGCUAACUUCGUG
rnacentral:rRNA from 1 species